rnacentral:misc_RNA from 1 species
AAAAAAAAAAAAAAAAAGAAGAUGUUUGCAAGAUGAAAAUUGAUUUGGAAUGAAUAACAAGAAUGCUUUUCAAACUUCCUGGGUACCAUGUGGGCAUGGGGGCGUGUAUGAGUAUUUGGCUACUCUCCCCCUCCCCCCUGAUAUUGACAUUUCAUAUUUCAAUGUGAUGCAGAUACCUUCCUGGACCAGAUGAUAUGCUAGUUCUGGAUAUUGCUUAUAUGAUAUAUCUCAAAUAUGAAGAAUAUUCAAAUGCACUCCAGAUUGCACUAUUCCUUGAUAACAUGCAGGUUUGACAUUGUUACGAAUUUAGGAAGCUUUUGCUUUUGUCGCCCUAUUUAACCUAAAUUUUAAGGAGGGGCACAUGCAUUGCUUCUUGUUGAAUGUUAAUUUGAAUUUCACGGCUAUAAGUGCGUUGGAUUUUUCCCAGCACUGUGUAACCUUAAGGCUGUUACAAGUAGAUUAGGACUAUCUUUUAAAUCUAUUUGUGUGUUAAUUCUAACAGCGUAAAAUAUUUGUGUGUUAAUUCUAACAGCGUAAAAUAUUUGUGUGUUAAUUCUAACAGCGU